rnacentral:sRNA from 1 species
GCCUAGAUCAUCUUCUAUAUACACUACACUCUGCACACCUUUUGGCAUUCAAACAAAUUCAACUGAAAAUUACGAUGUAUAAAAACCAACUUAUAUGCUAUAAUGCUAUGCACCACGAUAAUGAAAAAUAAAGCAAAUCCGUAAAUGCUGCAAACUCGUUCACUCAGUUCCAUUAUUUGACUUUAAUGUCGCCCUUGGCCUCCGAGGAAAGGUUCUUGGAGGAAGGAGAUUUGCCAGUGAUAGCUUUCUUUGCUUUCACCAGGGACUGUUUAACCUUUGAUAUAAUGUUAUUUGAUUGCUUUUGAGCUGGCUUGGCUGGAGUUUCUUUUGGAAGGUCCUUGGAUGUUUUUAUUGCGUCACUUUCCUUGGUGACUUGAACCUCAGUUUUCUCAGGCUCCACAGUUUGUUCUUUCUCUAACUUAUUGACUCCAGGUUCAACAUAUUCCUCUUCUUUUUCUUCAAAUUUGGAUGCCAAGGUUUCUCUAACAGGUUCACUUACAGCUCUAGAGAUUUCUUCUACCUUUGUUUCACCGUUCCCUUCCUUCUUGUCAUCAACUACUGAGCUAUCAUCAUCACCUCUUACAUUCUCCACCUUCACACUCUCUGCUACUUCAGUUGUUGCUGUCUUUGCCUCAUUCUGUUCCUCAACCUUUCUGCUUUCAGCCUCUUCCUCUGUUGAAGAUCCAGUGACAGCUUUAGGUGCUUCAGGUUCCUUUUUUUCAUCGUCAUUUGCGGCAAUGGCAACCUUUUCCUCCACGUCAGCUGGAACAGAAUACUCCCUUUCUUCUUUUAAGCUAGGUUCAGCUCCCUGAUCAAGUGAGGCUGGUUCUGGACUUUUUAUGAUGCCAGCCACUUCAUUUGGUACCCCUUCAAUCACAUCAGUAAUGCUUGAUUCUUUAUUGUUGUCCUCUUCAACAAUCUUUUCCGCUACUACAGAAGGUUCCACAGUGUUUGCUUGAGCUUCUUCAUUCGAUGAAACUUGUGCUGUACUUUCAGUGAAGCUAGUUUCCCCCUCUUUAUCAGUUUUCACUACAUUUGCUUGAGGUUCUUUAUUGUCAUCCUCUUCAACAACCUUUUCUGCUACUACAUGAGAAGGUUCCACAGUAUUUGCUUGAGGAGAAGGCUCCACAAUAUUUGCUUGAGGUUCUUCAUUCGAUGAAACUUGUGUGGCAUUUUCAGUGUGGCUAGUUUCCUCCUCCUUGUCAGUUUUCUCUUCCUUGAUCGUGUCAUCUGAAGUUCCUUCACUCUUGGAGAUCUGAAGCACAACUUCAGGAGAAGGUUCCACAAGAUUUGCUAGAGGUUCCUCAUGUGAUGAGACUUGUGCUGCAUUUCCAGUGAGACCAGUUUCCUCCUCUUUGUCAGUUUUCUCUUCCUUGACCGUGUCAUCUGAAGUUCCUUCACUCUUGGAAGUCUCAAGCACAGCUUCAGUAGAAGGUUCCACAAGAUUUGAUUGAGGUUCCUCAUUUGCUGAAACCUGUGCAGCAUUUACAGUGAGGCUAGUUUCCUCCUCUUUAUCAGCUUUCUCUUCCUUGAUCAGGUCAGCUAAAGUUCUUUCAGUCUUGGCAGUCUCGAUCACAAUUUCUUUCUUAGUUUCCACGUCCUUACAAUCUUCCACAACUUCAUCAUCUACUUGUAGUUGUUCACUUGGCUUUUCCUCCACUUCAAUUAACAGAGGUUCUGGUUUUUCUAUCUUUUCAGAAAUUGUGUCUGACUCUGAGUUGCCUGUGUCUUCCACCUUCUCAGUACUGCCUUGUUGCUCCACCUUUUCAGCUUCUGCUUCGAGAACAACUGUCUUAGACUUCUCUUCUUCCUCUAGCUUUUCCGGUUCAGUUUGACUUUCAUCAACUUUAACACCCACUGGCUCUGCUUUCUCUGUUUCAAAGUUAUGUGUCUGGUUUCUCCUCUUCCCUUUGUUCCAACGGUUGCUUCUCUGGUUCUUCCUGGUUUUCAUUCACUUUAGUAACCAAAGGUUCUGCAUCCACUGUUUCCGUGGGUCCCGUUUCAAAGUUAGCGGUCUCUUCCACCACAUCUUCUGAGGGUUCUGUUGCUUUUUCCUCUACGGCAUCAGCCGCCUGUUCAGGUACUGCAAUUGUGCUUGGUUGCUCAGCCUCUUGCAAUUCUUUUUCUGCCUCUUCUAUUUUUUCUUCCACUUGUGUAGCAACAGGCUCAAGCUUGUCUUCCACUCCGGCCCCUGUUUCCAAAACUUGAGCCUCUUUCACCACCUCUCCUUGUGAUUCUGUCGGAGGAUCAGUCUCAUCUGUGUUGCUUGUUUUGUCAAUAGUUUCAGUUGAUGCUUCUGGAAUGUCUUCUGUCUUGGGUUGCGAUUGUUUCUCCUUAUCUGUUUCCACAGCUUCAUUUUCUAGUUUCUGUGGUGGUGUUUCUUCCACACUGAGUUCUGUGGAUGGUGCCACAUCUGGCUGGGAAUUGGCUGCAUCAUGAACUGGUUCAAUAUCACUGAUAGUGUGCGAGGCCGGAACCACUUCCUUCUCCUCCUUUAGUUUAUCUUCGGCUGCAAUAGUUGCUUCUGGUGGCAGUGAAUAUUCAGUGUUUUGUACUGCAAUAGCAGGCUCAACCUUGUGAUCAACUUCUUCUGUUGGAGUUGGUGUUGAACUUUGUGCAUCCUCAACCUUGUGAUGGUCCAGAGUAUCUUCAGCAGAUUGUUCUUCCUCAACUGCAGCAAGCUCUGCCGUCACCUUAUCUUCUGUCUUAUUUGAAGAGGUGUCCUCAGAUUUGUCGUCUCCGUCAGGCUUGUCAUGCUUGACUUCAUCUUCAUUGGCUAAAGAAGCGAUCAUUUGUGCAAUGCCUUCGUCUUUUUCCUUCUUCACGUAUUGCUAUAUAAUAAAGAUGAAAAGGCAUUGAUGAUUAACAAACCAUGAAUGUAAGUACAAAUAACAAAGUAUGAACAAGUAAGAAGGCGUGCCACAGAAAUCAC